rnacentral:lncRNA from 1 species
UGCACUGUAGUAUAUGAAUUACUGUUUUGGAAAAUGCCAAGUCUCUGUAAUUCUCUUCUCCUUUAGUGAAUGUCACAUCUGGAGAAUCAACUAAAGUGAAAGAGACAUCCACAACUUCUGUAGGGACAACAUUUCAAUCUACUGUAGUGUCAGACCAAAUUACACUAUCCACAGGCCCUACAAUGACAACUGGACAUUCAUCAACUCAUGGAAUACAAACAAAUACAGAAAUUGCUAGGGGAACAGGAACAACUAUUUUGUCAACUGGAGUUACUGAGAGAACUUCACAGUCCAUUGGACAAUCAGAAAUUACUGGCUCCUCAACUAACACAGCAGAAACAACUAAGGAAUCUGUAACUGGCUCAGAGUCAACUGGCACACCAACUAGAGGAACAGAGGCAGAUACUAUCUCAGCUGGAGAAGCAAUACAAACUACACCAACACCUAGAGUGACUGUGACAUCUCGACAAACAUCUGGUACCACAACAGAAAGCACUCCGUCAGUUUCAGUGUCAGAAAGUACAGUAACAACUGGUAAACUGACUGUGACAUCUGGGCAAGCACCUGAAGUGAAGGAGACAUCCACACCUUCAAUAGGGAACACAAUCGGAUCGACUGUAGUUUCACAAGAAACUACAAUUUCCUCUGGCCCUACAGCCACAAUUGGACAGUCAUCAACACAUGGACUACAAACAAGUACAGAAACUGUCAGAGGAACAGGAACAACUCUUGUGUCAACUAUAGUUACAGAGAGAACUUCACAAUCCCUUGGACAAUCAGAAACUACUACAUCUCCAACUAAAGCACCAGAAACAACUAAGGAACCUGUAACUGGCACAAGGAUAACUGACACACCAACUAGAGGAACAGAGGCAGAUACUACCUCAGCCGGAGAAGCAAUAGAAACUACAUCAACACCUAGAGUGGCUGUAACAUCUGGACAAACAUCUGGUACCACAGCAGCAACCACUCCAUCAGUUUCAGUGUCAGGAAGUACCGUAACAACAGGAAAAUUGACUGUGACAUCUGGCCAGACCACUAGGGUGAAUUCCACAUCUGGACAAUCACCAGAAGUCAAGGAGACAUCAACACAUUCUGUAGGGAACACAUUGAGAUCUACUGUAGUUUCACACCAAACUACAAUUUCCUCUGGCCCUACAACCAUAACUGGACUGUCAUCAACUCAUGGACUACGAACAAGUACAGAAACUUCUAGGGGAAUAGGAACAACUGUUGUCUCAACUGUAGUUACCAAGAGAACUUCACAAUCCUUUGGACAAUCAGAAACUACUACAUCCCGAACUAAAGAAUCAGAAACAACUAAGGUAUCUGUAACUGGCUCACAGUCAACUGGCACACCAACUAGAGGAACAAAGACAGAUACUACCUCGGCUGGAGAAGCAAUAGAAACUGCAACAACACCAAGAGUGGCUGUGACAUCUGGACAAACAUCUGGUACCACUGCAGCAACCACUCCAUCAAUUUCAGUGUCAGGAAGUACAGUAACAACUAGUAAAUUGACUGUGACAUCUGGCCAGACCACAAGGUUGAAUUCCACAUCUGGGCAAGCACCUGAAGUGAAGGAGACAUCCACACCUUCUGUAGGAAACACAGUGAGAACUACUGUAAUUUCACACCAAACUACAAUUUCCUCUGGCCCUACAACCAUAACUGGACUGUCAUCAACUCAUGGACUACAAACAAGUACAGAAACUGCUAGGGGAACAGGAACAACUGUUGUGUCAACCAUAGUUACAGAGAGAACUUCACAAUCCCUUGGACAAUCAGAAACUACUACAUCCCCAACUAAAGCAUCAGAAACAACUAAGGUAUCUGUAACUGGCUCACAGUCAACUGGCACACCAACUAGAGGAACAGAAACAGAUACUACCUCAGCUGGAGAAGCAAUAGAAACUGCAACAACACCAAGAGUGACUGUGACAUCUGGACAAACAUCUGCUACCACAGCAGCAACCACUACAUCAGUUUCAGUGUCAGAAAGCACCAUAACAACAGGAAAAUUGACUGUGACAUCUGGGCAAGCCCCUGAAGUGAAGGAGACAUCCACACCUUCAGUAGGGAACACAGUGGGAUCGACUGUAGUUGCAGACCAAACUACAAUUUCUUCUGGCCCUACAACCACAAUUGGACAGUCAUCAACUCAUGGUCUACAAACAAGUACAGAAACUGCUAGGGGAACAGGAACAACUGUUGUGUCAACUAUAGUUACAGAGAGAACUUCACAAUCCCUUGGACAAUCAGAAACUACAACAUCCCCAACUAAAUCACCAGAAACAACUAAGGAAUCUGUAACUGGCUCACAGUCAACUGGCACACCAACUAGAGGAACAGAGGCAGAUACUACCUCAGCUGGAGAAGCAAUAGAAACUACAACAACACCAAGAGUGACUGUGACAUCUGGACAAACAUCUGGUACCACAUCAGCAACCACUCCAUCAGGUUCAGUGUCAGAAAGCACCAUAACAACAGGAAAAUUGACUGUGACAUCUGGUCAAGAACAUGAAGUGAAGGAGACAUCCACAUCUUCAGUAGGGAACACAGUGGGAUCGACUGUAGCUACAGACCAAACUACAAUUUCCUCUGGCCCUACAACCACAAUUGGACAGUCAUCAACUCAUGGUCUACAAACAAGUACAGAAACUGCUAGGGGAACAGGAACAACUGUUGUGUCAACUAUAGUUACAGAGAGAACUUCACAAUCCCUUGGACAAUCAGAAACUACUACAUCCCCAACUAAAGCACCAGAAACAACUAAGGUAUCUGUAACUGGCUCACAGUCAACUGGCACACCAACUAGAGGAACAGAGGCAGAUACUACCUCAGCUGGAGAAGCAAUACAAACUACACCAACACCUAGAGUGGCUGUGACAUCUGGACAAACAUCUGCUACCACAGCAGCAACCACUCCAUCAGUUUCAGUGUCAGGAAGUACUGUAACAACAGGAAAAUUGACUGUGACAUCUGGCCAGACCACUAGGGUGAAUUCCACAUCUGGACAAUCACCAGAAGUGAAGGAGACAUCCACACCUUCAGUAGGGAACACAGUGGGAUCGACUGUAGUUGCAGACCAAACUACAAUUUCCUCUGGCCCUACAACCACAACUGGACAGUCAUCAACACAUGGACUUCAAACAGGUACAGAAACUGCUAGGGGAACAGGAACAACUCGUGUGUCAACUAUAGUUACAGAGAGAACUUCACAAUCCCUUGGACAAUCAGAAACUACUACAUCCCCAACUAAAGCACCAGAAACAACUACGGUAUCUGUAACUGGCUCACAGUCAACUGGCACACCAACUAGAGGAACAGAAACAGAUACUACCUCAGCUGAAGAAGCAGUAGAAACUACACCAACACCUAGAGUGUCUGUGACAUCUGGACAAACAUCUGGUACCACUGCAGCAACCACUCCAUCAGUUUCAGUGUCAGGAAGUACAGUAACAACUGGUAAAUUGACUGUGACAUCAGGCCAGACCACUAGGGUGAAUUCCACAUCUGUGCAAGCACCUGAAGUGAAGGAAACAUCUACACCUUCGGUAAGGAACACAGUGGGAUCGACUGUAGUUGCAGACCAAACUACAAUUUCCUCUGGCCCUACAACCACAACUGGACAGUCGUCAACUCAUGGACUACAAACAAGUACAGAAACUGCUAGGGGAACAGGACCAACUGUUGUGUCAACUAUAGUUACAGAGAGAACUUCACAAUCCCUUGGACAAUCAGAAGCUACAACAUCCCCAACUAAAGCACCAGAAACAACUAAGGAAUCUGUAACUGGCUCAGAGUCAACUGGCACACCAACUAGAGGAACAAAGGCAGAUACUACCUCAGCUGGAGAAGCAAUACAAACUACACCAACACCUAGAGUGGCUGUGACAUCUGGACAAACAUCUGGUACCACAGCAGCAACCACUCCAUCAGUUUCAGUGUCAGGAAGUACUGUAACAACAGGAAAAUUGACUGUGACAUCUGGCCAGACCACUAGGGUGAAUUCCACAUCUGGACAAUCACCAGAAGUGAAGGAGACAUCCACACCUUCAGUAGGGAACACAGUGGGAUCGACUGUAGUUGCAGACCAAACUACAAUUUCCUCUGGCCCUACAACCACAACUGGACAGUCAUCAACACAUGGACUUCAAACAGGUACAGAAACUGCUAGGGGAACAGGAACAACUCGUGUGUCAACUAUAGUUACAGAGAGAACUUCACAAUCCCUUGGACAAUCAGAAACUACUACAUCCCCAACUAAAGCACCAGAAACAACUACAGUAUCUGUAACUGGCUCACAGUCAACUGGCACACCAACUAGAGGAACAGAGGCAGAUACUACCUCAGCUGGAGAAGCAGUAGAAACUACACCAACACCUAGAGUGUCCAUGACAUCUGGACAAACAUCUGGUACCACUGCAGCAACCACUCCAUCAGUUUCAGUGUCAGGAAGUACAGUAACAACUGGUAAAUUGACUGUGACAUCAGGCCAGACCACUAGGGUGAAUUCCACAUCUGGGCAAGCACCUGAAGUGAAGGAGACAUCCACACCUUCAGUAGGGAACACAGUGGGAUCCACUGUAGUUUCACACCAAACUACAAUUUCCCCUACAAUGACAACUGGGCAGUCAUCAACACAUGGACUACAAACAAGUACAGAAACUGCUAGGGGAACAGGGACAACUGUUGUGACAACCAUAGUUACCAAGAGAACUUCACAAUCCCUUGGACAAUCAGAAACUACUACAUCCCCAAUUAAAGCACCAGAAACAACUAAGGUAUCAGUAAUUGACACAAGUAAACCUGGGUUGUCAACAGGAGUAACCUUACGAAAUGUUUCAUCCAUUGGAGAAUCAGCUACUACUGUUUCCUCAGCUAAAGUGGUAUUAACUACUAGGGUAACAGUUACUGGCUCAGGAACUGUCAAUUCAUCAACUGCAUUUACAGAGACAACUGCAUCUUAUGAUAGAAAAUCAUUUUCAACUGGAUCAGUAGCUGGAGUGUCCAUUUCAUCUGGACCAACACCUGCAGCUACUGGUGUUUCUAGAUCUCCAUCUGUAGGUUCACCUUCUAUAAGUACAAUUAGUGAUUUGACUUCAACAUUGAAACCGUCACCUGGAGUCACUGUACCAUUUGAGAUUUCACCUGGAAGCACAGUGCUAUCCAGUUCAUUCACUGAAGUUCCCGGAAGAACUGUUCCAGCUGAUGAAGGAACUACAAGCAGAAGAAAUAAUACUGGAGUAGCAGGAACUGAGUCUACAACAAGUAAAGGGACCACUGGUGCAGUCUCCAGGAAAACUGAAGAACCAGUGAGGUCUACU